rnacentral:rRNA from 1 species
AGAGGUGUAAGUGCGGUAACGUAUUUAGCUGACUGAUACUAAUAGGUCGAGGGCUUGACCAAUAUAA